rnacentral:tRNA from 1 species
AUAUAUAUAUUAGAAAUUAUAAUACUAAUACUAAAAAAUUCAAAAUUUUUUGUGCAAUUUUAAUACACUAAUAUAUA